ACCAACAUUGAUAGCCCGAUCUCCAACGCUGUUGUUCUCCACCUCUCUCUCUUCCCUUCAUCGGCGGAUACGCUCCUCUUCCCUUUCUCCACCCCUCCCUCAUCUUCGCCCGCUCAAGCUCUCUCCCCUCUUCACCGCCGAGAUCGAGCCACCGCCGCCUCUCCUUCUACAGUUGCCGUGAUCGAGCGAGGAACCUAGCUUCGAGGAGAGCGAGGCCGGGGUUGGCGGCCGGGCGGGGCAGGGGCUGGCGGCUGGUGGCGGCAGGCUGCACGUAGGGCGGGGGAUGGCGACCGGCGGCGUGGCCGUGCGGAGGGCUGCGCGGCAAGCGGUGGCCUGCGGCUCUGCCGGAGGGGAAGCAGGAGGCGGCAGUGGGGCGCAUGGAUAUGUGAUGUUUUCUUCUUUUUUUUUUUUUAGAAUUUGUGAUUCUAGAUCUAAGAUGUAUUUGAUUUGCGUGUGAUAUGAAUAUGUGAUGUAUUUGUGAUGUAAUUCCUUUUGAAUUUGUGAUGUAUUUGGAGAUGAUCGAUUUGAGGAUUUGGAC
rnacentral:sRNA from 1 species